rnacentral:rRNA from 1 species
GAUGAACGCUGGCGGCGUGCCUAAUACAUGCAAGUCGAGCGAACGGACGAGAAGCUCGCUUCUCUGAUGUUAGCGGCGGACGGGUGAGUAACACGUGGAUAACCUACCUAUAAGACUGGGAUAACUUCGGGAAACCGGAGCUAAUACCGGAUAAUAUUUUGAACCGCAUGGUUCAAAAGUGAAAGACGGUCUUGCUGUCACUUAUAGAUGGAUCCGCGCUGCAUUAGCUAGUUGGUAAGGUAACGGCUUACCAAGGCAACGAUGCAUAGCCGACCUGAGAGGGUGAUCGGCCACACUGGAACUGAGACACGGUCCAGACUCCUACGGGAGGCAGCAGUAGGGAAUCUUCCGCAAUGGGCGAAAGCCUGACGGAGCAACGCCGCGUGAGUGACGAAGGUCUUCGGAUCGUAAAACUCUGUUAUUAGGGAAGAACAUAUGUGUAAGUAACUGUGCACAUCUUGACGGUACCUAAUCAGAAAGCCACGGCUAACUACGUG